GACGAACGCUGGCGGCGUGCCUAAUACAUGCAAGUCGAACGCAGUGGGGACGGGUGAGUAACACGUGGGUAACCUCCCAUCAGAGGGGAUAACACUUGGAAACAGGUGCUAAACCGAUACUGAUGGAUGGACACGCGGUGCAUUAGCUAGUUGGUGAGGUAACGGCUCCACAAGGCCACGAGGCAUAGCCGCCCUGAGAGGGGGAUCGGCCACACGGGGACUGAAACACGGCCCGGACUCCUACGGGAGGCAGCAGUAGGGAAUCUUCGGCAAGGGACGAAAGUCUGACCGAGCAACGCCGGGGAGGUGAAGAAGGUUUUCGGAUCUUAAAACUCUUUUGUUAGAGAAGCGGUAUCUAACCAGAAAGCCACGGCUAACUACGUGCCAGCCGCCGCGGUAAUUC
rnacentral:rRNA from 1 species